rnacentral:sRNA from 1 species
GGCGUCAUUAGAGCCCGGCCUCCGGCUGGGGCCACCCAGGCAACCGAUAUACACAGAGAACCACGUGGAGGAAAAGCACGCGAGUUUGGAGCGGGUGGAGCAGGAACAGAGGUGGACUGGAAUGUCACACGACGGGGCAGCUGGAAGGGCACCACUGAGUUCAGUACUUCAAAAUUGCCGUGCUCUACCUCUCCCCAGUGCACAAAAACACUCUCCACACCAAGCUGCUGCUGCUGGGGGAUGGAGGGAUGGCGUCAGCGAUUCAAGACUGUUUUUCCUACCUGUUCAGCACUUCUUUCAGCGAUAUGAAGUUAAAUCCAGAUGUCGUCAUCAUCCACUUGUUCAAACAAGAGCCCAAGGAUCAUCCUAGAUUCCUUCUCACUUCCUCUCAAUCCAUCCCUGAAACAGCCAAACCACCAAGCAGCAAGAGGGAUCUUAUAAAAAUAUGACCAGAUCACAUCCUUCAACACUUCCCUGUUACCCUUACAAUAAAAUUCAAACUCUUCACCAUGACCUCCAAGGCUCCUAUUGAAUCCGGCUCUUGUCUGCCUCUUCAGUAACAUCAUGGACCACUCCUUACCAUUCCCUCCAUCUGGCUGUGCUUCCUGCAGCUCUUCCAAUGGCUGGCUUGUUCUCACCUUUGAAGUCUCAGCUCAAAGGACACUCCCUUGGGCUCUCCCUCAUCACCCUAACUAAUAGGUCACUUAAUAUUGUUAUUAUUUUUUAGAGACAAAGUCUCACUAUGUCACCCAGGCUUGCCUCAAACUCCUGGGCUCAAGCAAUUCUCCCACCUUGGCCUCUCAAAGUUCUAGGAUUACAGGCGUGAGCCACUAUGCCUGGCUAUGUCACUUAUUAUUCUUUAUUAUCUUCUAUAUAUAAAUGAUCCCAAUCUAUAAUUAUUUGAUUUAUUGAUUGGUUUACUUGCUUAAUAUCCAACUCCCAUACUAGAAUAUAAAUGUUAUAGAACAAGAGAUUGUCUGUACCAUCCACUGUUCUAGUCUCAUUACCCCACAUAAGGCCUGGCAUGGAGUGUGCACCUAAUAAAUGUUUGAAUAAA